rnacentral:rRNA from 1 species
GACGAACGCUGGCGGCGUGCUUAACACAUGCAAGUCGAACGGAAAGGCCCUGCUUUUGUGGGGUGCUCGAGUGGCGAACGGGUGAGUAACACGUGAGUAACCUGCCCUUGACUUUGGGAUAACUUCAGGAAACUGGGACUAAUACCGGAUAGGAGCUCCUGCUGCAUGGUGGGGUUGGAAAGUUUUCGGCGGUUGGGGAUGGACUCGCGGCUUAUCAGCUUGUUGGUGGGGUAGUGGCUUACCAAGGCUUUGACGGGUAGCCGGCCUGAGAGGGUGACCGGCCACAUUGGGACUGAGAUACGGCCCAGACUCCUACGGGAGGCAGCAGUGGGGAAUAUUGCACAAUGGGCGGAAGCCUGAUGCAGCAACGCCGCGUGCGGGAUGACGGCCUUCGGGUUGUAAACCGCUUUCGCCUGUGACGAAGCGUGAGUGACGGUAAUGGGUAAAGAAGCACCGGCUAACUACGUG